UUUUUGUAUCUUAUCCCAAGUCUUUGGACUAGAUAUGAUA
rnacentral:tRNA from 1 species